GGCAGCACAGAAGAGCUUGCUCUUUGGGUGGCGAGUGGCGGACGGGUGAGUAAUGUCUGGGAAACUGCCCGAUGGAGGGGGAUAACUACUGGAAACGGUAGCUAAUACCGCAUAACGUCGCAAGACCAAAGUGGGGGACCUUCGGGCCUCACACCAUCGGAUGUGCCCAGAUGGGAUUAGCUAGUAGGUGGGGUAAUGGCUCACCUAGGCGACGAUCCCUAGCUGGUCUGAGAGGAUGACCAGCCACACUGGAACUGAGACACGGUCCAGACUCCUACGGGAGGCAGCAGUGGGGAAUAUUGCACAAUGGGCGCAAGCCUGAUGCAGCCAUGCCGCGUGUAUGANGAAGGCCUUCGGGUUGUAAAGUACUUUCAGCGGGGAGGAAGGCGGUGAGGUUAAUAACCUUGCCGAUUGACGUUACCCGCAGAAGAAGCACCGGCUAACUCCGUGCCAGCAGCCGCGGUAAUACGGAGGGUGCAAGCGUUAAUCGGAAUUACUGGGCGUANAGCGCACGCAGGCGGUCUGUUAAGUCAGAUGUGAAAUCCCCGGGCUUAACCUGGGAACUGCAUUUGAAACUGGCAGGCUUGAGUCUCGUAGAGGGGGGUAGAAUUCC
rnacentral:rRNA from 1 species